rnacentral:misc_RNA from 1 species
UCUCCGUAGGUGAACCAGCGGAAGGAUCAUUAUUGUAUAACCAAAGUCCGAGGGCUUUCGCAGCCACCAAACCACUUGCACGGCCGAGUGCCCUCACACACAUCCAUCUCACCCCUAUGUACAACACCGCGGGGGUCCCGUUUUUGCGUGUUCGGAUGGGGUCUCACGUUUUCACACAAACUUUAUAUGCAGUGUAUGAUGUAUUUUAUGAUUUUGCCAUCACGCAAUCAAUACAACUUGAAACCACGGCACCCUUGGCUCUCGCAUCGACGAAGAACC